AAUCAACGCUGGCGGCGUGCCUAACACAUGCAAGUCGAACGAGAAAGUGGAGCAAUCCAUGAGUAAAGUGGCGACCGGGUGAGUAACACGUGACUAACCUACCUUCGAGUGGGGGAUAACCUCGGGAAACCGAGGCUAAUACCGCAUAACACUUACGAGUCAAAGCAGCAAUGCGCUUGGAGAGGAGUUCGCGGCCGAUUAGUUAGUUGGCGGGGUAAUGGCCCACCAAGACGAUGAUCGGUAUCCGGCCUGAGAGGGCGCACGGACACACUGGAACUGAAACACGGUCCAGACUCCUACGGGAGGCAGCAGUGGGGAAUUUUGCGCAAUGGGGGAAACCCUGACGCAGCAACGCCGCGUGGAGGAUGAAGUAUCUCGGUACGUAAACUCCUUUCGAUCGGGAAGAUAAUGACGGUACCUAUAGAAGAAGCCCCGGCUAACUUCGUGCCAGCAGCCGCGGUAAUACGAGGGGGGCAAGCGUUGUUCGGAUUUAUUGGGCGUAAAGGGUGCGUAGGCGGUUUGGCAAGUCUUAUGUGAAAUCUAUGGGCUCAACCCAUAGCCUGCAUGAGAAACUACC
rnacentral:rRNA from 1 species